GUGCUUAAGAAGGUUUUAAUGAAUUGGACUGAGCCGUCACCAGGCUACCAGCACAGCGGGUAGACUCCUGAUGGAGAACUGGGGUCAGGGACCAGUCCCGCAGGAUGGCAGGGCUGAGACGGGGUUCUAUCUGUAUCUCCAAAGGAAAGAGCCCCACCCAAGAGGUCACGGAUUUACCUAAGCUCGGAGGUGAGAUUAGGAGGCAGCGCUUCAAGGGUCUGUGGCCAUUGCCAAGCUGAGCGCUGCCGGCUCCAGGUUCAUGAUCCUAUCAUUCCUCGCGGGAAGUCCCUGGGAGCCCGUCUCUAGUCCUCUGGACUUCUCUUUCCAUUAAAUGCAACCGACACUUCUUUAGUGCCUGCUUUGUGACUCACACAUAGUAGGAGCCCCUGCAAGCGCUAGCUCAGGUCCAUGCAAAGGCGCGUGGGUGGAGGAAGCCUUUACUGGAGGUGAAAGUACAAGGGCAGGGAAAACAAACCAAGAACUCUCCCACAAAAAUCCCUGAACGCCCGAGCCCGGGCUAGCGCUCUGCGGGACAGAAGCAGAGGGGGGCGUGCUUUGAGUUUGGGGAGGCCCCAGCGGGCUGGUUCUCCGCUUUUCCCUACAGAUCUUUUCCAGGUUGAGAUCCAAAGAAAAUGAAGAUUCCCCUGGGGAUCCUAAUGGUUGCAGUCUUGUGCUCCGUCGGUGAUCCUGCCCUUAAGAGGAAUGUCUCCUCGGCUCUGGGCCACGGCAACGCCACCAGUGUGGUGAAGGGGACGAUGCUUCCACCUCAUAUUGAGAAAGCGAAAACAACAGCUUUAGAAAUACACCUCCUCAAGUGCCAUGUGUGCAUGGGCAGCUUCCAGUGCUACUCGCCGCAGCUGUGUCAUCCCUCAGAAAGAUUCUGCAUGAUUGCUGAAACUGUCCAGGAAACCGGACCCAACGUGAUCAAGUACUGUUCAGUCUUUUGCCCAUUUAUCGACAAGUACCAUGGAAGAAGCAUGGAGAACUUGUAUGUUGCCUGUUGUGCUGAGGAUUUGUGCAAUUAUAAAAAACUGGGUACUGGGUCCAGAAUUUGUCCUAGUGUCUCUGUGGUGACAAUGGCAUUUGUAGCAAGUUUCCUUGGAACCCUCAGGAUUGGACUAUUUUAUGCUGGGAUGUGACCUCUGAGACCUUGCUCAUAUCAUGCCCUUCUCAAUUAAUUCUCAGCCAUAUCUCCCAUUAAUCUUCUGUAAAGGAAUUUCCCAGGUCACUGGAAGACUUUCCCAUAGUUCCAGAGAGCCAAUUUGGAUCUCUUCCCUGCAUUAUAUUCUUUUUUUUUUAUUAAAGCUUUUUAUUUUCAAAACAUAUGUAUAGAUAAUUUUUUAACAUUCACCCUUGCAAAAUCUUGUAUUCCAAUUUUUCCCCUCCUUUCCUCUCAUCCUCUUCCCUAGACCUGCCUUAUGUUCUUUAUAUCUCUUUGAGAUGUAUGGAAAGUGCUAUAUAAAUGCUUGUAAGUAUUAUUAUUAACAGGUACAAUAAUAAAAAUAAUAAUUUCC
rnacentral:lncRNA from 1 species